rnacentral:lncRNA from 1 species
CUCCGUGCAUCCCAAGACAUCGAAUAUCUUGGUAAUUUAUUUAACCCACGUCUCCGCCUUAAUCGGAUCCGGCUUUCCCCAGAAUUCUGGUGGUCCCAACUCUUUGAACUGCUUGGCUGUGACAACCCGUGAAUUGCUAUCAUUUUCUCCUGUAUUUUGAACACGAGUCUCCCUCGUCUGAUUUUGCAUGAACUGCAAAAAGCUUCUAAA